rnacentral:rRNA from 1 species
AGUCACUGACAUUAGAUACCCGCGUAGUCCAGGGUGUAAACGCUGCAGACUUGGUGUUGGGAACCCUUCGGGGGUGCUCAGUGCCGGAGAGAAGUUGUUAAGUCUGCUACUUGGGGAGUACGUCCGCAAGGAUGAAACUUAAAGGAAUUGGCGGGGGAGCACCGCAACGGGAGGAGCGUGCGGUUUAAUUGGAUUCAACACCGUAAAACUCACCAGGGAAGACUGUUACAUGAAAGCCGAGAUGAAGACUCUGCUAGAUUUUCAG